GAGAAGAGACCCAGCCCUGGAUUCCCCAGGUGUUCCCAUUCAGUGAUCAGGAGAGAACACAGAGAACUCACCAUGGAGUUUGCACUUGGCUGGGUUUUCCUUGUUGCUCUUUUAAAAGGUGUCCAGUGUGAGGUGCAGCUGGUGGAGUCUGGGGGAGACCUGGUGAAGCCUGGGGGGUCCCUGAGACUCUCCUGUGCAGCCUCUGGAUUCACCUUCAGCAGCACCUACAUGAACUGGGUCCGCCAGGCCCCAGGGAAGGGGCUGCAGUGGGUCGCAUUUAUUAGCUAUGAUGGAAGUAGCACAUACUACGCAGACUCUGUGAAGGGCCGAUUCACCAUCUCCAGAGACAACGGCAAGAACACGCUCUACCUGCAGAUGAACAGCCUGAGAGCCGAGGACACGGCCGUGUAUUACUGUGCCGAAGAUGUGGAUGUGAUGACACUGUGGGAUUUGAGUCUGAUCAUCACUUUACAGAGUUGUGUUUUACUGAGAGCCCUGAGGUUAAGCCCCUUUGUUCCCUUGCUCCUGCCAGAUUCUUUACUUGUCUGUGCUGUAUUUU